CCAGGACUCUGGGAUCAUGACCUGAGCGGAAGGCAGACACUUAACCAAUGGAGCCACCCAGAACCCAAAGAAGAUGCUGGUUGUGGCCGAACUUUGGAAACUCUGAAGCCAUCUACAGUUCCAUAAAAUAAAGAUGCCAGUCAGAAGCAAAUGCCCCAAUCUUAAAAAAAGAAGAAGAAGAAGAAGGAGAAGAAGAAGAAGAAGAAGAAGCAAAUGCCCCAAUCUUAAAAAAAAAAAAAAAAAAGAAGAAGAAGAAGAAGCAAAUGCCCCUGGAGCUGCUGCUGCUGGGCCUGCCUGGGAAGGAGAGCAGAGCCCAGCACUGUGUGCUCAGGAGAGGAAUGGCAGCAGGUGAGCAUGGCUGGUCUAGUCUCUGCGAGCUGAGGAAUUCUGCAGGAGAUGGCAGGUUCUUCAGACCCCCUCGUGGGUGCUUGCUUUAAAUCCUGAGUGUGCUCAGCAUUAUCUCUUGAAUAUUAAGCACAAAGAGAGUUGGAUCCUGGGCUUUAUCGCCAGCUUCCCUUGGCCCCUGGCAGGGGAGGUGAAAUGGCCCUGCUCCGUCUCAGCAGUGAGGGUCAUGGCCUCCCUGCCCCCCUGGAGUUCAUCCCCUUCCUCCGGCCUGGCUCCCUGCUGGAACCAUUUUCCCUUGCCCUGGCAUGAAUGUCACUCUGGCUCCUCAAGGCUUCCAGUCCCUUAAAUGUAUAAUUCAAGGGACGAUGGGCUUGUGUUACCAUUGCUGCCAGCAGCCUUGAGCUGACUCCGUAGCACAGGCAGGGUUUCCCUUUCCAGGCUGGGGAAAGGGUGGUCAGUGCCUGGGUCACCUCAGUGAGUGUGCCCAAGCCUUGGCUCCUGGUUGCCCUGGUCCAGCCACACUCAUAAGGCCCCUGAGGUUAGAACAAGAGAAAGCCAGCUUAAUCCCAGAAAGUUUCCAAUUUAAAUCCUAAGAAGGCAAAGCUUGUCUUUGGCGCCCCUACACCAUCCCUAACUUUCCUACUUUUAUUUGUGAGAGAAGACAAAAGGGCCAUGGGAGACAGGCCAGAUGAGAUGGAGGGGUCAUCUGAACUGCAGGCAGGUAGAGGGCACCAAAAUGUCCCACAGUCCUGCAGCAUUCCUGCCGUGUCUCUCCUGGCCUUCUGGGCAAUCCGACCUCCAGUGCCGCACGUUCUCAAGGUUGAAACUGUUUAUUCCUUCCCUUUUGAUUAUUGACGGAUGCACCUAGCGUGGCUUCUUAAAAGAACCAUUUCAAAUACCUGUAAAGCCAAGAAGCUCAAAUUUAGGAAAAUCUCACCAGCAGGACUUAGUUCCUGUGUCUAUUGACUCACAAUUAAUAACUAUAUUAUAGUAUUACUAUUACAUAAUUGAUUGUAAUUGCUAUUAUAUAAUAAAUAAUACUAAUGAAAUUCGCAUUAUAAUUAAUGCUAAUGAAAGGUAGAUGACAUGCUUAUUGCUCAACCGACAUGCGCGUUGCCAAACCCCCAAAGGGGUUCCUUUAAGAUCUAAAGGACCUGAUUGUACUUUACUGUCAUGUUGAAGAGAAUAAAGCUUUUAGGUAUAAUCAAGAUUUCUUACAUAUGAGAACUCAGUGACCCAUAGGCAAUGUCUGCCAU